rnacentral:misc_RNA from 1 species
UACGUAGGGGGCUAGCGUUAUCCGGAUUUAUUGGGCGUAAAGAGCUCGUAGGCGGUUCAACAAGUCGGCUGUGAAAGUCCGAGGCUCAACCUCGGAAUGGCAGUCGAUACUGUUGUGACUCGAGUCCGGUAGAGGAGAAUGGAAUUCCCGGUGUAGCGGUGAAAUGCGCAGAUAUCGGGAGGAACACCAAUAGCGAAGGCGGUUCUCUGGGCCGGCACUGACGCUGAGGUGCGAAAGCGUGGGGAGCAAACAGG